rnacentral:rRNA from 1 species
UACGUAGGGUGCGAGCGUUGUCCGGAAUUACUGGGCGUAAAGAGCUCAUAGGUGGUUUGUCGCGUCGAAUGUGAAAACCCGGGGCUCAACCCCGGGCCUGCAUUCGAUACGGGCAGACUAGAGUUCGGUAGGGGAGUCUGGAAUUCCUGGUGUAGCGGUGAAAUGCGCAGAUAUCAGGAGGAACACCGGUGGCGAAGGCGGGUCUCUGGGCCGAAACUGACGCUGAGGAGCGAAAGCGUGGGGAGCAAACAGG